rnacentral:tRNA from 1 species
AAGAAAUUAGUUAAAUUUAUAACAUAUGCUUGUCAGGCAUCAGUUGUCUUACGGACAUUUCUUU